rnacentral:piRNA from 1 species
UAGAUGACCAGACAUGGUUCAACUCAAGAUGA